rnacentral:rRNA from 1 species
AGUAAUACAUCGGAACGUACCUAGUAGUGGGGGAUAGCUCGGCGAAAGCCGGAUUAAUACCGCAUACGACCUAUGGGUGAAAGCGGGGGAUCGCAAGACCUCGCGCUAUUGGAGCGGCCGAUGUCGGAUUAGCUAGUUGGUGAGGUAAAGGCUCACCAAGGCGACGAUCGGUAGCUGGUCUGAGAGGAUGGUCAGCCACACUGGGACUGAGAUACGGCCCAG